CAUGCUGUGCGCUGGGUGGCCUCAUCCCUACUGCCUUUGAACUGCUUGCUACAGGUUUUGGUGGUGAGUAUGCUGCAGCACAGCUCUGUGCUUCUGUCCUUGUUUGGAUGGGCAGGAAAUUCCCAUUUGCACUUGUGGGGAAUACAGUGUGCUAUAAAUUAGGCACAGAGCAAAAAGUGCCAAGAAACAGGUAACCUCCUCUCUCUGGAUUUACUUACAGAAGGUGAGAGCCCCUCUGUGUAUGCUGAGCAGUCCUAAUGGAUCACCCUUCCUUUUGAUCUUCCUAAUAUGUCUUAGUCCUCAUCCAUUAAGAGACAGAAAUCAUAGCUUUCUGCUAGCUUCACUGUUCUGUUUUAUGGUGCAGGCAAAACAGUAUCAGCUGAUGAUGAUAUGGCAUGACAUGGAUGCCCACUGGACACGGGCUGCAUCAGAUGGCUUAUUUCACGUGGUGUAUCAGUUAUGCUCCAGCUCUGGACUUACUGUUCUCCACGGAUUGAACACAGAGAGGAUUCAGACUCUAACACCAACAGAGCGUACCUUUUCUUGUCUCUGGAUGUCAGUCUGACAGCAGAAUAAGGAGUGCUAACGUGAUGUCACUGAGUUUGAACAGCAGCAAAGCUGAGACCCAAAGACAGAAAUAUGCAGUCUGUCUCAGGACGUGCUGAGACAUUCCCCUGCAGCUGUAUGAGCUAUCAGCUCAUCUCACUCUUUCACCAGAGACAACCUCUGAGAGGUAACUUUGCCUUCAGACUUCAGUCGUGUAUCGUCUGCUCUCAGCCAGUGUCAGAAGGCCCAGAGCUCUCUGCCUGUCUUCUGGGAGCAUCGAUCCACUCACCACAGCUCAGCACAACAUACGAAGCCUUUCCUUCCCUUGCACAUGUGUUCUCUCUCUCUUGAAGAAAAAAAGCAAAAAAAAAAAAAAGCAAAAAAAAAAAAAAGCUGUCAGUAUUUCAGAAGCUCUGAGCAGCAGAUCUUUGUGUACUUUAAUCCAUAAAUAAACAUUUCUUCUUUUGAACUUCA
rnacentral:lncRNA from 1 species